rnacentral:rRNA from 1 species
UACAGAGGUCUCAAGCGUUGUUCGGAUUCAUUGGGCGUAAAGGGUGCGUAGGUGGCGCCGUAAGUCGGAUGUGAAAUCCCGGGGCUCAACCCCGGAACUGCAUUCGAUACUGCUGCGCUAGAGUACUGGAGAGGAGAUUGGAAUUUACGGUGUAGCAGUGAAAUGCGUAGAUAUCGUAAGGAAGACCAGUGGCGAAGGCGGAUCUCUGGACAGUUACUGACACUGAGGCACGAAGGCCAGGGGAGCAAACGGG